UGGGGAGUAUUGCGCAAUGGCCGAAAGGCUGACGCAGCGACGCCGCGUGGGGGAUGAAGCAUUUCGGUGUGUAAACCCCUGUUGCCCGGGACGAACAAGCAGAUUUUUCUGCUCUGACGGUACCGGGUGAGGAAGCACCGGCUAACUCCGUGCCAGCAGCCGCGGUAAUACGGAGGGUGCGAGCGUUGUCCGGAAUCACUGGGCGUAAAGGGCGCGUAGGCGGUCUGCUAAGCGUGCGGUGAAAGCCCGGGGCUCAACCCCGGGUCUGCCGUGCGAACUGGUGGACUAGAGCACUGUAGAGGCAGGUGGAAUUCCGGGUGUAGCGGUGGAAUGCGUAGAGAUCCGGAAGAACACCGGUGGCGAAGGCGGCCUGCUGGGCAGUAGCUGACGCUGAGGCGCGACAGCGUGGGGAGCAAACA
rnacentral:rRNA from 1 species